rnacentral:rRNA from 1 species
UGCGUAGGUGGUUUCUUAAGUCAGAGGUGAAAGGCUACGGCUCAACCGUAGUAAGCCUUUGAAACUGGGAAACUUGAGUGCAGGAGAGGAGAGUGGAAUUCCUAGUGUAGCGGUGAAAUGCGUAGAUAUUAGGAGGAACACCAGUGGCGAAGGCGGCUUACUGGACGGUAACCGACGUUGAGGCUCGAAAGCGUGGGGAGCAAACA